AUUGAACGCUGGCGGCAUGCCUUACACAUGCAAGUCGAACGGUAACAGGUCUUCGGAUGCUGACGAGUGGCGAACGGGUGAGUAAUACAUCGGAACAUGCCCGAUCGUGGGGGAUAACGAAGCGAAAGCUUUGCUAAUACCGCAUACGAUCUACGGAUGAAAGCAGGGGACCGCAAGGCCUUGCGCGAACGGAGCGGCCGAUGGCAGAUUAGGUAGUUGGUGGGAUAAAAGCUUACCAAGCCGACGAUCUGUAGCUGGUCUGAGAGGACGACCAGCCACACUGGGACCGAGACACGGCCCAGACUCCUACGGGAGGCAGCAGUGGGGAAUUUUGGACAAUGGGCGAAAGCCUGAUCCAGCCAUGCCGCGUGCAGGAUGAAGGCCUUCGGGUUGUAAACUGCUUUUGUACGGAACGAAAAGACUCUGGUUAAUACCUGGGGUCCAUGACGGUACCGUAAGAAUAAGCACCGGCUAACUACGUGCCAGCCGCCGCCGUAA
rnacentral:rRNA from 1 species